ACGCUUGAAGAGCUUCACCACGACGGAAAUCAAGUGGAUCAUUGCUCGUCGUUUCCAGCUGACAGGACGCUGGAAAUCGGAAACUACAAGCCGGGUGUAAACACCGGAGCCAGCCGGCCGCAGCAUCCAUCUUUCGGCGAGAGGACGCCGGCUACAACACCAUUGCCUGCUGAGGUUCGGGGCCGAUAAGCAGAUCGCUUCUCUCGGUUCGAGUGACUGUGCCUGUGGGAGGAUUUCAGGAGCUGAUCUUCAUGCAGAGGAGUUUGCAUCGGGAUCAUCCAGGCGCCCAACGUGAGGGUCCUGCUGGAACGAGAGGACCAGAGGGACGUCAGGGAGAGAAGGGAACCAAGGGAGAAACAGGUGCUGUUGGACCCCCAGGAA